GACCCAAACCCAUUCCCACAGGAGAACGAAAUAAAAAUUAAAAGCAGCGAAUGGAAGCUGGGGAGGAGAAGAAAAGAGGAACUCUAGCAAUCACAGGGUAGGAACCUACUGGACAUCGCCGGAAAUCGCUCCGGGCACCAACGGCAAGGUUCGGUUGGGGAAGGAAGCAAGGGAGAAGGACAACGAAAAUAAGAAGCAGCCAAACAAGACCUUUAGGGCAACCUCGAGGGGUUUAUAUAGACCCCCCUGACGGCCCAGAUCAACGGGGUCGGUUCCCAUCCCCCGAUCGGGUUGCGCCACGUGUCGACCUCGGAGAUCGAGGCACCAUAUUCACUCCGGAUCAAUAAAUCGGGUACGAAAUCGAAGCGUUGUCCCAUCGGAUCUCGGGGCCUCAUCAUGGGUCCGCAGAAUCAAAUCGUCUUGAGGAACGAG
rnacentral:lncRNA from 1 species